rnacentral:rRNA from 1 species
CGAGAACGCCCGGGCCUAGCCGGGGCAAGUACAGUGGCGGACGGGUGCGUAACGCGUAGAUAACCUGCCCUCAGGCGCGGGACAAUCGCGGGAAACCGCGGCUAAUACCGCACGACGUCCGGAUCCCGCAUGGGAGCCGGAUGAAACCUUGGGGUUACCCAGGGGCCUUUGGAUGGGUCUGCGUCGGAUUAGCUUGUUGGUGAGGUAACGGCUCACCAAGGUAGCGAUCCGUAGCUGGUCUGAGAGGACGAUCAGUCACACUGGGACUGAGACACGGCCCAGACUCCUACGGGAGGCAGCAGUGGGGAAUCUUGCACAAUGAGGUCACCCCUGAUGCAGCCAUGCCGCGUGGAGGAAGACACCCCUAUGGGGCGUAAACUCCUUUUCUGAGAGAAGAAGCCCCUGUAGGUUCAGGGCGUGACGGUAUCUCAGGAAUAAGCACCGGCUAACUCCGUGCCAGCAGCCGCGGUAAUACGGAGGGUGCAAGCGUUGUCCGGAAUCACUGGGCGUAAAGGGUGCGCAGGCGGGGCAGCAAGUCGGAGGUGAAAGCCCGUGGCUCAACCACGGAAGUGCCUUCGAAACUGUUGCUCUUGAGUCCCGGAGAGGUUGCCGGAAUUCGUGGUGUAGCGGUGAAAUGCGUAGAUAUCACGAGGAACACCAGAGGCGAAAGCGGGCAACUGGACGGGUACUGACGCUCAGGCACGAAAGCGCGGGGAGC